GGGCCGUUAGCUCAGGCGGUAGAGCCGUUGAUGUCUAAUCAACGAGACAGAGAUUCGCCCCCUGUACGGCCCGUCA
rnacentral:tRNA from 1 species